GUGAACGCUGGCGGCGUGGAUAAGGCAUGCAAGUCGAACGGGUUUAGACCCGUGGCAGACGAGGGUAGUAAGGCGCAGGGAGAUCCCCCGGAGUCGGGCAUAUGCCGUCGAAAGACGGAGCAAUUCCCGAUGGUCCGGCAACGGUAAAGAUUUAUCGCUCCGGGAGUCACCUGCGUAGUAUCAGCUAGUUGGUAGGGUAACGGCCUACCAAGGCUACGACGCUUAGGGGAGCUGAGAGGCUGACCCCCACCGAUGGGACUGCGACACGGCCCAUACUCCUACGGGAGGCAGCAGCCGAGAAUAUUCGACAAUGGGGGGAAACCCUGAUCGAGCGACGCCGCGUGAUGGAUGAAGUGCUUCGGUACGUAAACAUCUUUUAUCGGGGACGAAAUAAUUGACGGUACCCGAUGAAUAAGGGGCUCCUAACUCUGUGCCAGCAGGAGCGGUAAUACAGAGGCCCCGAGCGUUACCCGGAAUCACUGGGCGUAAAGGGUGUCUAGGCGGCCAAGUUAGUCGUGUGUAAAAUCCGCGGGCCUACCUGCGGCGCGCAUGCGAAACGGCUUGGCUCGAGGGCGCGAGAGGCAUACGGAACUCAUGGUGGAGGGGUGAAAUCCGUUGAUAUCAUGGGGAACACCAAAGGCGAAGGCAGUAUGCUGGCGCGUUCCUGACGCUCAAACACGAAAGCCAGGGGAGCGAACGGGAUUAGAUACCCCGGUAGUCCUGGCCCUCAACGUUGCUCGCUCGUUUCGCGGAGUAUCGACCCUCUGCGAGACUAAGCUAACGCGGUAAGCGAGCCGCCUGGGUAGUACGAGCGCAAGCUUAAAACUCAAAGGAAUAGACGGGGACUCGCACAAGCGGUGGAUUAUAUGGCUCAAUUCGUCGGCAAACGAAGAACCUUACCAAGGUUAGAAAUCCAGCUGCAUCCGACCCGAAAGGGACGGAGCCUUCGAGGGUGCUGGACAGGUGGUGCACGGUCGUCGUCAGUUCGUGGUUUGAACUGUUCCCUUCAGUGGGGUAACGAACGCAACCCCCGUUGCCUGUUGCCUAUAUGGUCAGGCGAGACUGCUCCCUCACGGGAGAGGAAGGUGGGGAUGACGCCAGAUCCGCGUGCCCCUCUGAUACCUUGGGCCGCACACAUAAUACAAUGGCGCGCUACAACGGGAUGCAAUGCCGCAAGGCGGAGCAAAUCCUCAAAACGCGCCUCAGUACGGAUUGAGGUCUGCAACCGACCUCAUGAAGCCGGAAUCGCUAGUAAUGGCGGGUCAGCCAAACCGCCGUGAAUACGUUCUCGAGUCUUGUACUCACCGCCCGUCAACUCAAGGGAGCUGGGGACGCCCGAAGGACUGCCUCGCGCAGUACUACGGCGAAUUCAGUGACAGGGAGU
rnacentral:rRNA from 1 species